rnacentral:lncRNA from 12 species
GGGGGGGUCACUAUGCUGACCGGAAGUGGGUCUGUUACGCGGAGGCCAUCUUGCCGCUCGAGGUGCCGAGCCUUAGAGACGUGGGUCCCCGGGGGUCGAGGGGCGCAGAGGCGGAGGAAGGGGAGGCAGCUGUCGGUCACUGAGCUCCUGGGCGCAGCCCAGCCCAAGACCAGGCCCCUAGAACCUUCCAGAUGCCGGAGCCGUUGUGCCGGUGAAGGAGAGGAGGAGGCAGCAAGGAGUGGGUGGACUGGGAGUAACCCAGGCCCAGAGGCCCGAGCAUCCCCGGUGGCUGCACAGCGUCUGGACGGCAAGUUUGGCUGAGCAGGUGGGUGAGCGGAUGGGGGCGAAGGUGAGAGGCGCCCAGAGUGCUUCCCGGAUGGUGACGGCCGCCCGGCAGGCCGGUGUGCCACGUGGGGCACAUCCUUGUGCUGAGGGUGCUGAGGCCCAGGUGCGGCUGUUCUGGAGGUCACGGGGCCUCCGCGUUGCAGGUUGGGGUUUCCCCACUUCCCCACUUCCCGCCUUGGGCCGCUGUUUAAGAGCUUUUCCACCCCCAGCUUUUCCUUGCAGGUUGUAUUUCCUUAAAUCUGUUUGAAAAGAAAGACCUACUUGUCCCCCAGGUGUGGUCCCCGGUCCCCCCCCCCCCCCCGCACGCGACACCACAAAGCAGAGGGAAGCGGUGAGUGUUUAUAACUGCAGGCCAGAGGCAGGUCAUGGCCUCGAGGCCUGAUCUCCUACUUAAAUCAAGAAGUGAGGUGGUGAUUCCAGGUACAGGAGGUCCUGGGGCCCUCGGAUUCUAGAGGCAGGAAGCAGAAGGGUGGUUGCCAGGGCCGGGGAGGGAGAGGGCCACGGGGAGUUUUUAGUGGGUUUCAGUUUGCAAGAUGGAAGUUCUGAGGACAGAGCGUAGGGAAGGGCGUGCCACUAGGUGAAUGUAGACACGACACUGGUUCAGUUCUUUUUUUUUUUUUUUUUUAAUUUUUAUUUAUUUAUGAUAGUCACACACACAGAGAGAGAGAGAGAGAGGCAGAGACACAGGCAGAGGGAGAAGCAGGCUCCAUGCACCGGGAGCCCGACGUGGGAUUCGAUCCCGGGUCUCCAGGACCGCGCCCUGGGCCAAAGGCAGGCGCUAAACCGCUGCGCCACCCAGGGAUCCCUGGUUCAGCUCUUAAAAGUAGGUAAGAUGGUAAAUUUGUGUUGUGUGUUUCUCAGCACAGUGUUUUAGAAAAGGAGAUGAACGAACGUGAGAGAGGUGUCAGCCCCCUCCGCUUCCAGAUGAGGCUUUGUCCUUGAUGAAGCAGAACACGUGAAAGAGAAUUGAAAGGCA